rnacentral:rRNA from 1 species
GACGAACGCUGGCGGCGUGCCUAAUACAUGCAAGUAGGACGCAGUUGCGAACGGGUGCGUAACGCGUAGGUAACUACCUAUUCGAGGGGGAUAACUAUUGGCAACGAUAGCUAAUACCGCAUACUAGUAGAUGGACCUGCGUUGUAUUAGCUAGUAGGUAGGGUAAUGGCCUACCGAGGCAACGAUACAUAGCCGACCUGAGAGGCUGAGAUGCGAAGCUGGGCCUGAGGGACGGCCCAGACCACUGCGGUAGGCAGCAGUAGGGAAUCUUCAGCAAUGGGGGGAACCCUGACCGAGCAACGCCGCGGGAGUGAAGAAGGUUUUCGGAUCGUAAAGCUCUGUUGUUCAGUAAGCGGUACUUAACCAGAAAGGGACGGCUAACUACGUGCCAGCAGCCGCGGUAAUUC